CAAACGACUCUCGGCAACGGAUAUCUCGGCUCACGCAUCGAUGAAGAACGUAGCAAAAUGCGAUACUUGGUGUGAGUUGCAGAAUCCCGUGAACCAUCGAGUUUUUGAACGCAAGUUGCGCCCGAAGCCAUCCGGCUGAGGGCACGUCUGCCUGGGCGUCACGC
rnacentral:rRNA from 1 species